rnacentral:piRNA from 1 species
UGAGCGAUGCAGAAGACGGGUGAUUUCUGC